GCCUGCAUAGCUCAGCGUUAGAGCACUUGAAUCGUAAUCAAGGGGUCGGGGGUUCAAAUCCCUCUGCAGGCU
rnacentral:tRNA from 1 species